ensembl:snRNA U6 U6 spliceosomal RNA
GUUUUUACAAACUUAGCACGUAUAUUACAAUUGGAAUGAUACCGAGAAGAUUAGCCUGGCCCCUGUGCAAGGAUAACAUGCAAAUUUGUGAAGUGUUUCUGAGUGCA